GAUGGGAUGGCGUUUGUCAUUUUGAUGCAUGUGGGAUUGAGAAGGGAGCAUUUCAUUUGCUGGUUUUUGCCAAAAAUAUCUUGGACUGGAAAAAUGUUGGUCCGGACGGAGGAGGAGCUCAACUGGAUUUCUGGACUUCUGACUUGAGAUUGUCAUGUUGCACUUAAGCAAGUUUUUCUGCUCACCUUACUGAAAAGUUAUGCGCCUUCAUGUGUGUAACAAAAGCUUGAUUAGCAGGGAGCAUUUCAUUAGU
rnacentral:misc_RNA from 1 species